GGCUUCAUAGCUCAGUUGGUAUAGCAUCGCUCCGGUAAUGCGAAGGUCACGGGAUCAAAUCCUGUUGCAGCCC